UUAACUCCGGUUGAUCCUGCCGGACCCCACUGCUAUCGGGAUGGGACUAAGACAUGCUAGUCGUGCGUCUCCAAGCCAUGGUGGAGACGCGGCGCACAGCUCAGUAACACGUGGCUAACCUACCCUUGGGACAGGGAUAACCCCGGGAAACUGGGGCUAAUCCCUGAUAGGUGAGGACUCCUGGAAUGGGUCUUCACUGAAAGGACGUCUAGAUCAUGCUUCUAGACGUUGCCCAAGGAUGGGGCCGCGGCCGAUCAGGUUGUUGGUGAGGUAACGGCUCACCAAGCCUAUAACCGGUACGGGCCGUGAGAGCGGGAGCCC
rnacentral:rRNA from 1 species